GCUACGUAACGGCAUGAAAGUUUUUUUUUUUUUUUUUUUUUUUUUUUUUUU
rnacentral:ribozyme from 1 species